rnacentral:rRNA from 1 species
GAUGAACGCUGGCGGCGUGCCUAAUACAUGCAAGUCGAGCGAAUGGAUUAAGAGCUUGCUCUUAUGAAGUUAGCGGCGGACGGGUGAGUAACACGUGGGUAACCUGCCCAUAAGACUGGGAUAACUCCGGGUAACCGGGGCUAAUACCGGAUAACAUUUUGAACCGCAUGGUUCGAAAUUGAAAGGCGGCUUCGGCUGUCACUUAUGGAUGGACCCGCGUCGCAUUAGCUAGUUGGUGAGGUAACGGCUCACCAAGGCAACGAUGCGUAGCCGACCGGAGAGGGUGAUCGGCCAAGCUGGGAAUGAGACGCGGCCCAGACUCCGACGGGAGGCAGCAGUAGGGAAUCUUCCGCAAUGGACGAAAGUCUGAAGGAGCAACGCCGCGUGAGUGAGGAAGGCUUUCGGGUCGUAAAACUCUGUUGUUAGGGAAGAACAAGUGCUAGUUGAAUAAGCUGGCACCUUGACGGUACCUAACCAGAAAGCCACGGCUAACUACGUGCCAACCGCCGCAGUAA